UUGAGUCAUCAGUCUCAUCACAUCACAUCAGUGGGUUUGUGUGUCGAUAUGCAGUUAUAGGUGAUGUAACAAAUGUCCACAUAGGAGUGUUGUUUCAUUGAUUACUUUGUUUUUAAUAUAGUGUUAGAGGUUAAAUACAGAAUAUACAAAGGUGAAUGUUAUUCAUUAUUUCCAGCUGCAACAAUUUAUAUGAUCUGAGCAGCAGCAGGAAUUUCCUCCGAACACAUAAGGGUACAGCAUCAUAUAGAUGUAAACAUACAUGAGCAUAGAGCUUAUCAAGGUGACAACAGCAGAGCUUCAAUACAAAAGGAGUUUGGGAUAGUUGAUGGAGUUGAUGCAGCAAAGUAAUAGUGAGAGCUCACAGUCUAAAUGUGUUUAGAUGUUAGUAGUUGAACAGAUGAUGCAUCAAUAUGCCAGUGAUACUGUGACAGCUGACUAUCAACUGAAUGAUGUAUUCACAUCUCUCCUAAUCGUUGAGGCCAUGGCUUGUUAUGUUUUGGAUUACAGUGUUUAGGUGUUCACAUUAUUUUGUCCCCCAGAGGUGCAUCAUCUCCUCUCUGGCACAUUUUCAACAAAAAAAUGAACAUUGUGAGCUUUGCAGAGACAUAAUUGACUGCAGGGUUGUUGUUUUUGAAUUGCAUUAUACUGUGCAGAUUUUCAUGUUAAUGUCCUGUAAUCCUCUGCAAGCAAACUGUCACGAAGACGCAGCACAGUUUCUGGACAAGGAACAAAGUUGUCUAUGCUGAAAUGCCUGCAGCCUGGCUUAAAGCAUGUCUUGAGAAUACAAUAGAAUGGAAUCAAAGCUCCUUUUAAUUUUUAUCAAUGAUGCUUCUAAUCUUUUUAGCAGCGCCAAAGUUGGUUUAAGUUAUUCAGGUUUUGUGCUUGGAGUCUUAAAUGAUUAAAAUGAUAUUGAACUGAAUCAUAUUGAACUAAACCCACAAAACAUAUCCCACAUUAUCACUCUGUCACUGGCUUAUUCACUCUGCUGUUGGGAUGAUGUAUUGAAUAAAACAGCAAGAAAUGUGGAAAGGAAAAUUAGAAGACAGAUGGUCUUCCUUCCACUUUUAUACUAAGACUUAAUACUUCACUAGAUUUCAGAAAUAAUGCACUUUUAAACCGCAUGUAACAUCUGUACGUAUGGAUUUAAAUAGAAGAAGAUGAACAUGAACAUAGUGCCGAUAGUGUAAUACUGUACACUGGCAAAAUGAACACAAAAUCUAAGACUUUCAAUCUUAGAUUCUACUUCAAAGAGGAGAGAUCAGUUAGACUAUUUAUUUAGAUAGUAACACUUUCACACACUUCAACUUCCAUUUAGACUCCAUCAACAUGUAGCAUUUUCAUUACAUGUAGGUCCAUGGAGAUGUGAGAGAGAUGAGAAUCCCACUAGAGUCUAGACACUGAUUGUGGUGGAGUGAGGCCAGAGAGUCAAAAGUGGAACUUCUCAGUUGAAUCUGAGGAUCAUGGUGAUGAUGGAGGUGAUGAAGAGAGAGCUGAGGGGCCAUAACAGUGGCAAGGCAGGUCUGUUUGAUCCCCAUGCCGUGCUAUCUUCAGUUUUCUCCAUUCAGCCCGUAUGGACGAGGAUCAGUGGAGUGGACCGCCCGUCUGCCCAAAGGGACAAAAGUCCCCCUGCUAAUUGCUGCCACAUCAAAUGAAGAGGGACAUCCCAAAUAGGAGCCCUCAGAUUGAUGGAGAGGGAGAGAGGGAGGGAGAGAGGGGAAGAAAAGGACAGCCAGUUAUUCUUAAAGCUGCUCACUGGUUUCACUCUGAUUACUCCUCAGUCUUUGUUGAGCAUCAGCUGAUGAAGUCUGGUUAUUUGUUAAAGUUGUUGAAGUGAUCAUCCAUGAUUUUAAUAUUUUGAAGGGGAAUCUUCUAUGUCUUUAAUUCAUAACAAACAUUUUUAUGCACAUAACACAUUUUUGUUAGAACCAGGCCUUUAAUAGCACUAAUCACAGCUAAGUAUGAAUGUAAGUCAUGUAAGUACAUUGACUUAAAUUCUGACAAUCAAUUAAAUUUUGAGGUAAUGUCUCAAGGGGAUUGUCAGCGUGUUAGCAUCUCUGAUUUGUUUAAAGAAUAUAAAGCCAGUAGACCUCAGAGCCAAAAACAUUAAAGCUGCAUACCAGUACUGUGCUACACAGAUGAAACCAACUUCAUUUUAUAGCUGCAUUAUUAACUAUGUUCGUAUUAACAAAGAAUCAAAUGACUAUUAUGUGAAAGACAAAGCUCUUUAGUUUAAACUAGCCGACAGAACGAUGACAAUAGACUCAGAAGUUGAAUGAGGUGCAGUUUUAAAAUACUUUUUAUUAGCACCUCAUUCUUUACCAAUGACUGAUUCUUGUUUCCCGCAAGUAUUAUUGUGACUGGAAAACUUUCCGUUAUUGCACUGCUUUUACUUAAGUGAAGGAUAUAAAUUCAGUUUCUGGCAUUGUGCUCAUAAAAUGAAAAUGGCAGCAGUAGUAAAAUGUAAAGGUGAUGUUUUUAAUCAGUUUUCAUCACAAAUGUAGAGUUUUGUUUUACUGAAUCAAAGGGAUGAAUGUGCUAUGCUGUUGUAUCCAGUGGCUGUGAGGUAAAUUAAUGGUUCAGUGACGUCCCAGUAACCAUACCAGCAUUAUAUGAAGAGGAUUUUAGUGGUGGGUCAAUGUUUAGCUUUUGUUUUAUUCCUCAUCACAGAGUUUUUUGGAAAACAGUUGGAGGAGAGACAUUCCCAGAUUAGUUCUGCCCGUGCGACUGCCUGCUAUGUUAUUGGGAAGCAGACAGUAGCUGACUGACUGACUGACUGCCUGUUUGACUGGCUGCCCUCUUAUUGUCCUUCAGCAACGAGGAAGAUCAGUGGACCAGGACCCGGCAACAAAAGGCUUGGAGCCACAACUCUGUGUGUGUUUGUGUGCUGGUGUAUGUGUGUAGCUGUCACGGCCCAGUGAUAUAAGUGUCUCGGGGCCCCAGCCAGGUCCCUGCACCACACAGGGACAGAAAGAGAGAAAAAGCUGUCACUUCAGAGGGCCUUUUCAAAACCUGCAUCACUUUAGAGCAAACAGGCCCUGAAAGUCACAGUCCAUAUAGUCCUCCGAGCAGUCAAGUGGCCGCUGCUCAGCUUCUGCAUCAAAUGAUUUGUUUCUUAAACUCCCCCCUCCUGCCUCAACAUCACCCCUCGCUCCCACCCUGCCCUUCCUUUUCUCAACUCAUGCAUUCCUGUUUUCCAAUUGUGUUGUCUUUGUGUCACAGCAAGGCUUUGUUGGGGCCAUGGAUGGCUGUCGAGGCCGGCAGUGCAGUUUCAAAGUGUUUAUUGAUGUGCAGUCUCCACAUGAUGUUGGAUCUUGUUGUCAGGGGUCACAACCUGUUGAUGUUCCGGUGUGGCCGGAGUGAGGCUCACAUCUUGAUCCAUGCCGGCGGGUCACGCUAGGCCUUUGAAAGCAACAAGGCAAACAGAUCUUUUGGACGUCGGCUCAUCCAUCAAGCACACCUUAAGACUGUAUCAGCCAAGCAUGCAGCGCUGUCACUCACAGGUAAGUAAGCUGUUGGUGGCAGGAAGCAGAGUCAGAGGAGGAGCUGCUGUAAAUCAGUCAUUGAGGGUAACGUCCAAGUUGGUAACACUGUCCUGUUUUCUUUUCACUAUUUGUCUAUUUUAUGAUCCAAUGCAACUUCAUUGAAUUUAAUUUCAUCAUAUUAACACUAACCCUCUUGAGUAUAUUUUUCCUGUAUUCAAAAGAGGAAGCAUUCUUCUUUUUUGUCACAAGACCACAUCAUGUUGGCUAUCAACACCUAGCGAUUUUGGCCAACACUGAAAAUUUGGGAGGACACAUCACUCUUAAAGGAUAAAGCUGGUGAUUUUCUAUAUUUUUCUUAUUGUCAUGAAAUCUCAUAUGCAGAGCCAAACUAACUAUGAAUUGAUCUACUUACAAAUGUGCAUUCAAAGCCUCUAUGCAAGGCAGAGGCCACUGCACAUGCGCAGAACACAUUUCUGUUCACACUGCUUCACUAGCAUGUUGCGCUAAUAGAGUGCUAUCACCACAGAGAAAUACAUCAAACCUAAAUUUCUCGUUUUUGGUAUUUAAAAAUUUCACCAAAUAAGUACAAAAGUCUAUACAACAGCAACAAGGAUAUAUAUGCUGAUUUCACAGCAAAAAAUUAAGUUAAUUUGAGUUUAAUUUGAAACCCAGCAGCUGGAUUUUCCACAAGUCAAACUGAACAUGCAGCUCUCACUGACAAAAGAAGAAUGUGCUUGCAGCUCUCAAGUGUCAGUUUAUGUAACAGUCUAAGUGCAAAGCAGUGCAUUGAAAAAAUGUAAACAAAAAGAUCAUUUGUUAGAAAAAGUUAAAAAAAAAAACAAAAAAACAUGGACAGUGUUGAUGUUUGGCACUUGAGUUGUCCUUCCAGGAGAUACAGUAUGUAAUGAGCCUGAAAUGGAGGAUCAGCUGACGCCACUGUGUGAUGUUUGCUUGUAACAGAGAUCUGAGGAUCUGAGAGGCCAUCACCCAGCCACUGAGCUCACUAGCUCUCAUUGAACUUGUUUCCAGACACAGCAAGUGGCUGUUUUCAGAGAAAAGGUUCCAAAAAAUCCACUGCACACUACCUACCCAGCACCAAAUUGCACACAGACACAGUUAGCAAGUAGCUGGCGAACAUUUAGCAGCUAGAAAACCAAAUAUUUUUCUCAGUAGUUGGUGGAAGCCAAACAGAGCUAGAAGGAGAUUGAAUGGAAAGUGGAAUGGAAAGAAACAUGAUGAAUGCUAAUGUUGCUCUGUAUCUGCUGAAUGUGUAAAUAAUCAACUGCCAUGUCAACUUCAUAAGGUGAUAAUAUGUGUAUAUUGAGUGGUAUCUAGGGGUGAAGUUGCAGAUUGCAACCAACUGAAUACCCCUCACCCUCCCCUUCCAAGCAUGUAGGAGAACCUACAGUGGCCACCAAAAUCGCAAAAAACGUAAAAUGCCCUCACUAGAGCCAGUGUUUGGUUUUUCCAUUCCGGGAUACUGUAGAAACAUGGCGGUGCAACAUGGCGGGCUCCGU